rnacentral:rRNA from 1 species
UCAGACGAUGCGUCAUGCAUAUCAAUAAGCGGAGGAAAAGAAACUAACAAGGAUUCCCUCAGUAACGGCGAGUGAAGCGGGAAGAGCUCAAAUUUGAAAUCUUAAAGGUUUUCCCUUGACGAAUUGUAGUUUAAAGAAGUGUUUUCUGUUGAAGUUUUGGUAAAAGUUCUUUGGAAUAGGACAUCAUAGAGGGUGAGAAUCCCGUAUUUGACCAUUAUUUUCAGCUUUGUGAUACACUUUCAAAGAGUCGGAUUGUUUGGGAAUGCAGUCCAAAAUGGGUGGUAAAUUUCAUCUAAAGCUAAAUAUUGGCGAGAGACCGAUAGCGAACAAGUACCGUGAGGGAAAGAUGAAAAGAACUUUGAAAGAGAGUUAAACAGUACGUGAAAUUGUCAAAAGGGAAGCGUUUGACACCAGUGUUGUUUUCUCGAAAAUCAAUUAAAAAUGGCUUCGAUUUUGUAUUGCUGAGACCUUAAAGGCUCACUGUACAUUUUUCGUGUCUUUUUUAAUGCACUUUUCGUUUAACAAGUCAACAUCAGUUUCUUUUGUUGUAAAAGGGUCAUUGGAAGGUGGCUUUCUUUUCGGAGAAAGUGUCUAUAGCCUUUGGCCUCUGCAAUCGGAGAGACUGAGGUCUGCAGCGUAGACUCUUCGGGGUUAGAUACAUUUGUGCUAAGUUAUAGCUUUUUAUAGACAACUUGUUGACUAUAAUUAGUCUUGUAGCUUACUCGCUUAUGCUAUUUUACCUACGCUUAGGAUGUUGACUGAUAUGUAGUCGU